rnacentral:rRNA from 1 species
AUUGAACGCUGGCGGCGUGCUUAACACAUGCAAGUCGAGCGGUAACAGGCGUAGCAAUACGUGCUGACGAGCGGCGAACGGGUGAGUAAUGCUUCGGAAUCUUCCUCGUAGUGGGGAAUAACCUGGGGAAACUCAGGCUAAUACCGCAUACGAACUACGGUUGAAAGCAGGGGAUCGCAAGACCUUGCGCUAUGAGAUGAGCCGAAGUCGGAUUAGCUAGUUGGUGGGGUAAUGGCCUACCAAGGCGACGAUCCGUAGCUGGUCUGAGAGGACGACCAGCCACACUGGGACUGAGACACGGGACAGACUCCUACGGGAGGCAGCAGUGGGGAAUAUUGGACAAUGGGGGCAACCCUGAUCCAGCGACGCCACGUGUGUGAAGAAGGCCUGCGGGUUGUAAAGCACUUUUAGUGGGGAUGAAAAGCCAAGGGCUAAUACCCUUUGGUCUUGACCUAACCCAAAGAAAAAGCACCGGCUAACUCUGUGCCAGCAGCCGCCGUAAAAC